rnacentral:misc_RNA from 1 species
AGCAGCCGCGGUAAUUCCAGCUCCAAUAGCGUAUAUUAAAGUUGUUGCAGUUAAAAGCUCGUAGUUGAAUUUCGGGAUCAAAGGAUCGGUCAUGCCUUGGUAUGUACUGGUUUUAUUGGUUCUCACCUUCUAAAGAACCAUAAUGUCAUUCAUUUGAUGUUAUGGGGAAUUAGGACUGUUACCUUGAAAAAUUAGAGUGUUUAAAGCAGGCUUACGCUUGAAUACAUUAGCAUGGAAUAAUGAAAUAGGACAUCAGAUUCUAUUUUGUUGGUUUCUAGGAUCGAUGUAAUGAUUAAUAGGGAUAGUUGGGGGCAUUAGUAUUCAAUUGUCAGAGGUGAAAUUCUUGGAUUUUAUUGAAGACUAACUACUGCGAAAGCAUUUGCCAAGGAUGUUUUCAUUAAUCAAGAACGAAAGUUAGGGGAUCGAAGACGAUCAGAUACCGUCGUAGUCUUAACCAUAAACUAUGCCGACUAG